GCAGAGCAUCCUACGGGAGGCAGCAGUGGGGAAUAUUGCACAAUGGGCGCAAGCCUGAUGCAGCCAUGCCGCGUGUAUGAAGAAGGCCUUCGGGUUGUAAAGUACUUUCAGCAGUGAGGAAGGUGGGUAUGUUAAUAGCAUAUUCAUUUGACGUUAGCUGCAGAAGAAGCACCGGCUAACUCCGUGCCAGCAGCCGCGGUAAUACGGAGGGUGCGAGCGUUAAUCGGAAUUACUGGGCGUAAAGCGCAUGCAGGUGGUUUGUUAAGUCAGAUGUGAAAGCCCGGGGCUCAACCUCGGAAUUGCAUUUGAAACUGGCAAACUAGAGUACUGUAGAGGGGGUAGAAUUUCAGGUGUAGCGGUGAAAUGCGUAGAGAUCUGAAGGAAUACCGGUGGCGAAGGCGGCCCCCUGGACAGAUACUGACACUCAGAUGCGAAAGCGUGGGGAGCAAACAGGAUUAGAUACCCUGGCAG
rnacentral:rRNA from 1 species